GUAGUUGUGGCCGAGUGGUUGAGGCAAUGGGCUUGAAAUCCAUUGGGGUUUCCCCGCGCGGGUUCAAAUCCUGCCAUCUACG